UCAUCAUAGAAGAAAGAUGAGUAGUGGUCCUAAUAGGAGUGGUUUCCAAAAAUAUAAUAACUAUAGGUUAUAAUAAGUUUGACUUUGAGUGUAUUAGAAAUAAAAUGAUGAUUAAUUAGUCCAUAAUUGUGACACACUUCUAUGGCUGUUGCUUCAACUCAUGACAUGUAUCAAUCUGAACCGACACAUAAAGACAUUGGAGGAAAAAUUAUAAAGUGUUAAAAGUAGUGAGGUGUAAAGAUCAACAGUAUGAAUUUUAACAUUUUUUAUUGUAUAAACUUUUCUUUUACUCUAUCUUUUCAAAGAAAAUAUAAUAUAGUUUCAUAGUUUGGUGUUGUAGGGAGGAAUUUAUGAAGAAUGAAUGGAUUUUAUUUGGAACUUUUGAGAAGCAUGUCAAACCAGGACGCUUUGUUCCGAUGGAUAUAUAUAUAUAUAUGCCAGGAAAAAUCUCGAGGAAUGAAAAGGUUCAAUGCUCAUGUCUAACCUCUGGAUGUGACAUAUAGGAACUAAUUCAUUUUGGAAGGCAAGUCAAGUUGUGGCUAUUGUGAGUUCAUUAAUAGUACAAUUAGUUUAGUUAGAUACCAAUAUUUUGCUUUAAUUAAUGUAUAGGUUGAGAUCCACCUUCCAAAACUAGCCCUUUGUUGGGCUUCUGCUUAAUUAGAUUUGUGGACUUCUUCUUCAUCAUGUUCAUUUGAUGGACAAGAAUGAAUAAAUAUAUGUUUGUAUCUUAA